UACGAAGGGAGCUAGCGUUGUUCGGAAUCACUGGGCGUAAAGCGCACGUAGGCGGAUGGGUCAGUCAGGGGUGAAAUCCCGGAGCUCAACUUCGGAACUGCCCUUGAUACAGCACGUCUUGAGUCCGGAAGAGGUGGGUGGAAUUCCUAGUGUAGCGGUGAAAUGUGUAGAGAUCGGGAGGAACACCGGUGGCGAAGGCGGGUCUCUGGGCAUGACCUGACGCUGAGGAGCGAAAUCAUGGGGAGCGAACAGG
rnacentral:rRNA from 1 species